GCUGGCUGUAUCUCUGCUACAUCAUGUCUGCAAGCAAUGCACACACUUGUAUUUGGAUUAUACUGUGGAUUUUCUUAACAGUAUGUAAGUUCCCAAAUAUAAGGAUAUUAUAUGUUAUUCUCUGCUGCAUGUUUUAACCUGCCUAUUUGUUUAGUUGUCUAUGAAAAUCAUUGACUUGCAACUUUUGAAAAUCAUAAUAAAUAUAGUAAGCCGAAUAUAGAAUUUAUUUUUGUCUAUUUGUUUCAGGUGCAGAAGGGAAUCAAGUGGAUCAAUAUCCAUUAAUCACAGCGAGCGAGAAAGAGACUGCUCAGAUAAAGUGUAAUCACAGCAUUACUAAUGCUAACAGCUUGUACUGGUACAAGCACAUUAAAGGGAGAGCUUUAGUUAUGGUCAUCUCCGGAUUCAAUACAGAGUCAACUAAUGGCAGGUUCCACAUGGCCAUUGAUCGUAAUCAGAGAUCUACAGAGCUGUCUAUUGAGUCAGUGGAGAUACAGGACUCAGCUACGUAUUACUGUUCUGUGGAGCCCACAGUGAUACAGACUGGGAGGAACCCUGUACAUAUACUACAGAAUGUUCCUGACUGUAUACAAUAUGAAUACAUACAUGUAAGGAAAAAGGUUAAAAUAUAGUAACAAGCAUUUAAAUUGGUAGAUUGCAAUUAUCUCUCUUUGUUUUAAUCAAUAUAUCUUUUUGUAUAUAAAAAACUGAGAAGUUGAAUCAAAAUUAGUCAAACUGCAUCAUAAUGUGUGUCAAAGGUUUCAAAAAGUGCAUAGUAUUAAUUCAAGAUGCAAUGAUAAAAAAUUAUAAUAAUCUAUGGUAGGAGUGAGUUUAGGAAUUUGAAAGAUUUCAAUUUUUUUAGCACUGUAUUUUCUUUCAAAUCUGUUACACAAUUCCUGGCAAAAUAUUGGACAUUUUUACUAAAACUAUAAAUUAUUAAAUAAAUCAAAUAACAGCAAUAGAACAUUUAGUUUGUUGCAAGUCUCCAAGACUAGAUUCUACUACUUAUUAUUACCAAAAUGAAUGGCACUCAGUUUAUCGACCUCACAUUUACAGAAAUUGAACCUAUGACUCUGAUAUACUCUGUAGAUGGAGCAAAACAAACUUCCUACAAUUUCUGUGUUUGCCUAUGGAUUCUUUACUAUCUUUGUAAUACCCAGUAAUUGUCCACAGGUGGCAGUAUUAUGUAUAAAAUGUAAAAUGUAUAAAACAGACAGACACCUAUAAAUAUUAUAAACAAACCAAAUUGAAAAUCUAUGAGUAUGCUAUCUUAAUGUUGGAACUGGAGACAGUGGGUUGUGGAGAAAGCAGAUUAGUCAUCCUGUAGCAUCAAAUAAAUUGUAUUUAUUUUAUUGCACAACUAAAAUUAAU